rnacentral:lncRNA from 1 species
UGAACCCCGACCUUACAUAUUUUAUGCAUUAUUUCAACCAACUAAGCUAAGUUCACGAGGACAAUUCACUUUUGAGUUAAACAUAUAUAAAAUAUUCCAAACAAAAAAAUCAAGUUAUUUAUUCCUUUUUUUUUUUUAGCAAAACUUAUUUAUUCCUUAUAAAAAAAAAGCUUAAUACAUCAUUUGGUCCCUUAACUUAUUUUCAGUUUUCAAUUUGGUCAUCUAACUAUAAAGUGUCUCAAUUUGGUCCCAUAAAUCUUCUUCCGUUUACCAUUUUGGUCACGUCCGUGUGUUUUUUAAUAUCUAAUAUUUUUAAUAUGUUUUCGACCAUUCGAUUGCAGGUCUAUUAUGUACCACCCUGAACCACCAACACCUAAUUUUUUCCCUUUCUUUAUCUUCUUCCUUCCACCACUUCUUCAUAUUUUUUUUUUGAACAACAAAAUUUUAUUAAAAGGUUACCAUGGCACCAUGGCUGAAAACGCCUCAUAAUACAACCAAAAUCCAGAAAUUACACAAUGGCCUGCCCAAGCAAAAACCAAAACUCCCAACAGCAUGACCUUAGAAAUACGUCUUCCCCUAAGCCCAGUGGCGGAGCUAGAAAAAAAGUCUAGGGUGGACCAUAAAUAGUGAUGGAGCUUAAUUUUCUUACAAGUACAUUUUAUCAUUGGUUAGUUCCAAUGACUACAAAUUUGUUAUUUGUUGAAUAUAAUUCAAACCGGUAUUUUAAAAUCUGAACCGUUUAUCAACCUUAAUAAAGUACAAGAUAAUUGAUCGAACAACUAGGUCAUUGAACCUAACGACUGAAUUAAAUGACUCGACUUCAAUAAACAGAUGUAUAGGUAUUAAAUCGAAUUGAAUCAAACGAUCGAGUAAAAAAAAUUAAAAUAAAACUCAUGACAUAUAUAUUAAUGUAAAAAAGAUCAUUACAUAAGAAAAUAUACUUAUAAUCAAGUACAAUAAUGAAAUAUAUUUUAAUUUAAUAAAGAAUAUAGUAUUUUUUUUACCUUAUUUUUUAGGAUGUAUAUUUUUUUACCUAAAAAAUAAUGUUUAUACAAUUAAAUAUUUUUAUGAUAUCAUGUUUUUUAAGGAUAUUUUAACAUUUAUGUUAUAUGUUAUGCAUUAUAAAAGAUGGUUGAGGUCCUCUUUUAUAUAAAAAAUAUGUUAUGUGUUUUAAAAGAGAAUUUUUUUGACAAAAAAAGAGUUGAAGUUCCCUUUGUUUAAAAAAAAUAAAAUAAAAGAGUAAAGAGACAAUUGUACCCAAAAAUAAGAGUAAGGAAGGAAAAGAUUAUUUUAAAUUGAAUAAAGGAGUUAUGUUUUAUUAAAGAAAGAAAGGAUUAAGUAAGAAAAAAAAAAAGGAUUAUUUUAACAAUUUUGAAUGCUUUUUUUUUUUUUUUUUUUUUAUACAAAAGAAAAUAAAAGAGUAAUGAAAAUGGCUUUGAUAAGAGUUGAACCUAGCACAUAAGACUUGGCAAAAAGACUCAUAACCACUACAACAUGCUACACAAUCAUCAUAUAAUUACAAAAACAUAAUAUAUAUAAUAAGAAGAAAAAAAUUGGGGGUGGGCCAUGGCCCACCUUGGCCCAUGAGGGGCUCCGCCUCUGCCUAAGCCACCAAAACAAAACAAAAACAUGACUAAAAGCGCCCAGCAAUGACAAGGGAAGAACAUAAAACAUAAUUGGUUAAAUCCCUCCAAGACCAAAGGUGUUAACUGCUAAGGCUUUGUAAAAAAAAACACCAUUUAUUCAUAUUCAUAUGAAAUCCAUCAAUAUUCAUACAAUAUACCUUAAAAAAUUCCAGAAAAAUCAAAUAUUUAACCAACACAUAAAAUUCAGAUUCAUCAAUUCAUCCCUUCAACAUCAUGAAUUCCUGGCUUCCACGAAUUCAACAUCAAUUAGAACCCGAAUUUGAACAAGAGAGAAUAUAAUUUGAAGGAUCUAAAAUUAGUUUCUUCUUAAAUUACACCACAAUUCUUAUAAUUUGAAGGUUCUGGAAUUGAGUUUGGGUUAGAAUUUUGGGAAUUAGGGCUUGAAUUAUGGGUUCUGUCUAUUGUCCCAUUGUGUUUCCUUGGAACUAAAUUUCAUGGGUAUUCCACAAUGGAGAGGACCAAAAUGGUAAACGGAAGAAGAUUUAUGGACCAAAUUGAGACACUUUAUAGUUAGGGAUUAAAUUGAAAACUAAAAUUAAGUUAAGAGACCAAAUGAUGUAUUAAGCCAAAAAAAAAUAACUUAAGUUAUUUAUGCAACAUAUAUAUUCAGAUUCAAUAUUAAAAUCCAACUUUUUGACAAGAUAAGUUAAACGAUAUUAAAUCUAAAACCUUGUUCAAUCUCAUAUAUUAGAGAUGUUUACACAUAACUUUACUCUGGAAUUUUCUUCAAUUUUUUUUUUUUUUUUGACUGAUACGCACGAAAUGUUUCUAGCAACCUUGAAACACAAGUAACUUAACGCAGUCAUUCCAAUUCAUGAUCUUAACUUGGAGUAACUUCUAAUAUUAUUUGAUCAAUAAAUUUGUGGUUGAACCCGAGGAGCUAUUUUUAAGCACUGCUUUUAUUUUCCUUUUGAUUCAAUUGAAGAAUGAAUUCAUUUAAGGAAGUAAUGAUGCUGCUUUAUAUAUCAUAGAACUUGUUGAGAUUUAGAUAAAGGUAAAAAUGAUUUAACAAUAUGUUGUCAUAACUUUCUCAUUAAGGGAACAUUUUGUUUCUGUAGGAAUGAUUGAUACAUGAAGAAACAAAAUGAAAAAAUAUUUGUAACAGAAAAAAAUAAAACUGCCUUCCGUGCAAAUUAGCCUAAUCUAAUCUAUCUUAAUCUCCAUUAGCUUGAUUUACAGUUCACUCAAACGAGAUGUGAGGUUUUGGAAUUCAUCCUCGCUGCAAGGAAUUGUGAGACCACCCAUAGGAUGAUCAUAUCCAAAUUCUUCUUCUGCUUGAUUUAGUAAUUCUUGAAACGAUGGUUGGUUCAAGUAUGAUACUGGAAUCACGAACCGUCUCAUUCUAUCUCCAACAUAGACUGCGAGAUAGCCUUUUGGGACUUCAAGUCCCUUGGUAGAUUCUUGUGUUUUGGAAAAUGAUGGCAUUCUAAUAAGCUUUGCUAUGCGGAAACCCAUGGUCUUUUUAAUGGUUAGAGGAUUGGUUGGGAAAAGAAAAUUUGAAUUAUGAUAAUUUAGGAUGUAAAAGAUUUGUGUUGCUUGAGAGUCCAAUGAAAUAGUGUAUAUAUAGUUGCUAGCAUAUACAAACCAAUUAAUCAAUGAGCUGUGAUAUGGCCCAGUGAGUGACAUGGGAUCACAUGGAAUUGUUUUCAAGGAUUAGGAAGAUAAAUGGAAGAAAAUGCACAUACCCUACUUUGAAAAAUAAUGUCCAACAUAUAACCCACUUAAAAUUUGAGACAAUGCAAUGGUGAAUGGAACCUGAUGUUUUUUCUUGCAUUUUGGGUGGGUAUAGCUAAUCCAAUGGUAGACAUGCUUUAGACAUCUCACAUCUUAGAUUUAUGUGCAACUUGUUAGGCUUGUGAUGGAACGGUGUGAGGAGGAAAGAAGCGAACCGAUAUUGAACACAAGAACUUGAGCUACUAUGAACCAAAUUUUUUAUUUUUGUAAGACCAACUCCAUGAUAUUUGCAUACCAGGACAGAACUUUGAGGUCCUUGCAUUCCUAAUUAAGUAUCAAGGUCAAUUAAACUUUCUAUUCCAUGAAUAGGUCUGUUUUAUGGUAGGGUAGACCUCUAAGACAAUACCAUGUGAUCUUAUAUAUGCUCUUGUCUCCUUGUAGAUUCCAUGACUCCAUCCUGAUCCUAUACUACAGUAUAAACCUCCACCAAUCAUUCAAGUAGCCAAUGGUUUCUCAAUAUUCUUUUAUCUAUAUAUAUUCAUGGCUGCAAGCAUUUAGGACAAACACAAAUCAUUCACAUCCUAAACCAUUUUAAUUUCAAAAACUUGCUUCUUGCUUACAAGUCUUCCUACAACCAUUUGAAUUUAAGUUCUAACACAUACAAAAAUGGGUUUUCGUUUCUCUGGUAUCAUCAGAAGGGCAUCAUUUUCUGCAAACCGAGCAGUUUCAAAAGCUGUUGACAUGCCAAAGGGAUAUAUUGCCGUGUAUGUUGGAGAGAAACGGUUUGUGAUCCCAAUAUCAUACUUGAACCAACCAUUAUUUCAAGACUUAUUGAGUCAAGCUGAAGAAGAGUUUGGAUAUGAUCAUCCAAUGGGUGGCCUCACCAUUCCUUGCACGGAAGAUGUCUUUCAACAUAUAACAUCUCGCUCGAAUGGGCUAUGAAUCUGACACCAAAAGAAACUGACAUAGUUUAGUAGAGACAUUUUUUUGUAAACUAGGCAUCUAAUGAAAUUGUAAAGAUGGGAAAAAGUGACUAUUAGAUUGACAAAUUUAUGGAAUAUAAAUAUUUUUUGUUAUAAUGAAAACGAAUUCGACUAUUCAAGUAACUCUUCUAUGUUUUUGGUUUAUUGCACUUAGAAACUUAAGAAAUAGGACUAUAUGAGUAAUAUUGCUUGCUAUAAUUAAAAAAUGACUUGGUAUUCUGAAGGAAAAAAAAUCAAAGCAGGAAUAGAAGUGGAACACAUGGUAGAGCAAAAAUAUUUUUCCUAGGAAAAAAGGUGAAAAAUAAAGUUACCAAAAAUUAAUUCCUUUUUAAACUACAUAAUAUAUAUACAUGAAAUUAAAAUUGUGGUGCAAAAGCCUUAAUCGUGUAUGAGGCAGCUUCCUUUCAUAAGCAAGUGAACAAGAACAAUGACAGUAACAAGGUCAAUUAUUCUGCUAAUAUAACGGGCCUCAUUCUAUGGUUCCUGUUAGGAUAUCCUUAUCUUAAGAAUUGAAUGGUUAUUACUGAGUAGUUUAUAUGAGUGAUAACAGCUGAAGAACCAUCACAUGGUGUUGUCUUAUAGAUUUUCACAAUAGUCACAAUAGAUUUUAGAAUAAUGACAGAUGAGUUUGUAACGUAGUUAUUGCUCGAAUAAUGGCCAUAUAUAUAAGUUUAGGUGAGUUGGGUCCUGAGGAUCACUAAGGUCAGGUCUCAAAGACCAGAAAACGCUGACAAAUAUAUUUAUAUAUUACUCACCAACGAGGUCUUUGCAACGCCAGAAGGAGUCGAUCACAUGUCAUUGUGGGGAAUGUGUCAACUUCUUACCAAGUGGACCAACCUCUUGACACUCAACAUUUGAAAAUUAAUAUUUUAAAAAAUAAAACAACAAACAAAUAAAUAAAAGAAAGAACCAAAAUUAUUAUUCUAGUAACCUUGAAACACAAGUAAUUUACUGCGGCCUUUCCAAUACAGUCAAGAACAGAACAGUUGCAUAUUAUGAUCUUAAAUUCAUGAUGUGAACUUGAAGUGUCUUUUGGUAAUGUUUGAUCAAUAAAUUUGUGGUUGAACUCAAGGAGAUAUAUUUAAGAAAUAAAUUUAUUUUCUUUUUGAUUCUGGAAUGAAUUCAUAUAACAAAUUAAUGAUUCUGCUGUAUAUCAUAGAAUUUGCUGAAGUUUAGUAAAAGCCAAAAAAUAUGACUUUACAAUAUUUUGUCAUAACAUUCUCAUUAAGCUAACAUUUUGUUUCUGUAGGAAUGAUUAAUACAUGGCAGAAACAAAAUGAAAAAAAUAUUCAUAACAGAAAAAAAUUGCAUUCUGUGCAAAUUAGCCUCAACUAAUCUAUCUAAAGCUCCGUUAGCAUAAUAUCUACAGCUCAAUUCAUGCGAGAAGUGAGGUUUUGGAAUUCAUCUUCACUGCACGGAAUUGUAAGACCACCCAUUGGAUGAUCAUAUCCAAAUUCUUCUUCUGAUUGAUUUAGUAAUUCUUGAAAUGAGGGUUGGUUCAAGUAUGAUACAGGAAUCACAAACCGUCUCAUUUUAUCUCCAACGUAGACUGCAAGAUAGCCUUUUGGCACUUCAAAUCCCUUGCUAGAUGCUUGUGUUGACGAAAAUGAUGGCUUUCUGAUAAGCUUUGCUAUGCGGAAACCCAUUGUUUUUUUUAUGGUUAGAGGAUUUGGAUGAGAAAGAUUUAUUUGAAUUAUGAUAAUUUAGGAUGCAAAAGACUUGUGUUGCUUGAGAACACAAUGAAUAGGUGUAUAUAUAGUUGCCAAGGGACUCUACAAAAUCAAUCAGCCAAUGGAAGCAUUUUGAUGAGCUGUGAUAGGGCCUAGUGAGGGACAAGGGAUCACAUGGUAUUGUCCUAUAGAAGUCAUUUUCAAACUAUUAGAUGAAGCUAAAUGGAAGAACAUGCACAUACCCUACUCUGUAACACAACUAAGGAAAAAUUAAAGACAGUGGAUUGGUGAAAGAAACUUGAUGUUUGUUGCUAUAGCUAAUCCAAUAUGUUUGUUCCCACAUCUUUCUUCUAAAUGACAAGGCAACUAAUAUACAUAUACCUGCUAAAUACAUCACAUAUAUGUGCAACUUGUAAAGCUUGAGUAGGACCUGAUUUAUAGCUCAGAAACAGUGUGAGGAGGAAAAAGAGAACCAAUUUUGAACACAAGAUCAUGGGCCUCUAUGAACCACAUUUUAUAUUAUUACAAGACAAGCUUCAUGAUAUUUGCAUACCAGGACAGAAGUUUGCGGUCCUUGCCUUCUUAAUUAAGUAUCAAGGUCAAUUAAACUUUCUAGUGAGGUGAUAUGUUGGUGUAUUAUCUGUCAUGACAUUUGGUCUUUGUGAAAGUCUGAAAGACUUCCAAGACAAUACCAUGUGAUCUUAUAUAUCCUCUUGUCUCUUUGUAUAUUCUUUGUCCCCAACCUAAUCCUAUACUAUAGGACUAUAGGAUACACCUUCACCAAUCAUUCAAGUAGCCAACUGUUUCUCAAUAUGAAUUCUUUCAUCUAUUUAUAUUCAAGGCUACAAGCAUUUAGGACCAACACAAAACAUUCACAUCCUAAAGCAUUCAGUUUUCAAAAACUUGUUAUUGCUACAAUUUAUCUUAUUUUAAAACAAUUUCUUCUCAAGUUUUAACACAUACAACAAUGGGUUUUCGUGUCCCUAGUAUCAUCAGAAAGUCAUCAUUUUCUGCAAGCCGAGUAAUUUCAAAAGUUGUGGAUGUGCCAAAGGGAUAUCUUGCAGUGUAUGUUGGAAAACAAAAGCGAUUUGUGAUCCCCAUAUCAUACUUGAACCAACCAUCGUUUCAAGACUUGUUGAGUCAAGCUGAGGAAGAGUUUGGAUAUGAUCAUUCCAUGGGUGGCCUCACCAUUCCUUGCACAGAAGAUGUCUUUCAACACAUAACAUCUCGCUUGAACGGAAUAUGAAUCUAACACAAAAAAGAGACUGACAUAGUUUAGUAGACUAGAGACAUUUUUGUAAACUAGGCCUGUUAUCAAAUUGUAAAGAUGGGAAAAAAGACCAUUAGAUUGAAAUUCUUUAUAUAGCGUAUAUAUUAUUUUGUUUAGUGAAAACGAAUUCGACUACUCAAGCAGCUCCUCUACUUUUUUGGUUUAUUGCACUUCAGAACUUACAAAAUUCGAUUAUAUGAGUAAUUCUGCUUGCUAUAAGACAAAAAAUGAAUUGGCAUUCUGAAAAAUUUCAAAGCAGGAAUUGAGCACACACAUAUUCUUGGCAAAGGGCAGAUCAAAUUUAUUUUUCUUAAGACAAAAGGUGAAAUCUAAAUUUACCAUUUUUUUUUACUACAUAAUAUAGACAUGAAAUUAAAAUUUUGGAGUGCCAAAGCUUUAAUCUUACAUGAAGUACAUUCCUUUCAUAAACAAGUACACAAUACCAAUUCAUCAACAAGGGAAAUUAUUUCACUGAAUGACAUAGGCCUCAUUAUAUGGUUCCUGUUAGGAUAUCCUUAUCUAAAGAAUUGAAUGGUUAGUACUUACUUAGUGAGAGACAACAGCUCAAGAACCACCACAUGGUGCUGUCUUAUGACUACAAGUUUUUCUUGAAGUGUCACCUACGUAUUCAUUGCUGAAAUAACGACCUUGUUUUUUCUUCAAGACAUCUCAUAUUUUCACUUUUUUGUCCACCUUUCUUUGAUCUCUAUAUUGAUUAGUACUAAUAAAUUUUGUAUCGCUAACAUGGCGUUAUGACAGCUAAAGGAAAUCUCUUUAAUUGUUGGAACAUUAUUUGCACAUAACUAUUAGUCAUUUUGGUCUGAUAGAAGUUUAAAUUCAAUAUUGGUUGCAUGUUAUAAUGUCUUCUGCAGUCAAAAUCAAUGGCUUUCUUUAUCAUAACAGCUUGCAGGACUAGUACUUUGUGAAUAGCACGGAAAGUCCUUUUGAUUGUAAUAUAUGUUGUGAAUUCGGUCAAUUCCAAACUUCACAUCAAUAAAAUUUAGAUUCGUGGCAACCAACAACCAAAAAUUGAUUAACCACAAGCAACAACAACAAGUGCAUGGCAAAACCACAAUCCAACCAAAGAAUAAACAAGAUAAAGAGAGUAAAGACAAGAUAACAACACCAAAGAUUGUUGACUCAGUUCGGUCCAACUUGACCUAAUCUGGGGGAGAGAUUGAUCUCUCCAAUCCACUAUCAAUGAGUUUUUACAAAGAGAUACAAAUGGGUUACAAGAAAUUAGCUUCAACAAGCUCACAAAGAACAACCCUAAUUUCUACACAUUUUACCAAUCUCACCAAUGAACAAGACACUCAUGAUUUUCACUCUCCCUGUUUACAAUUGUUUCAAAACUCAAGAAUCUAACCCCCAAAAGAGAACCAACCCUUAGUCUUUGAUUUCACUAAGGAUCUUCUUUUUUGGUUUUACAAGACUCACCCAAAAAGACUCUCCACUCAUGUGUUUCCCAACCCCAUGAAUCUUCCCCAAAAGACACCAACCCCUUUCCCAAGAGCCCCUUCUUUUGGUUCUCCAAGAUUCACAUCUUAAAGCUUUGAACCUCACCCAAAGACCCUCAACCUUUAGUAUCUAAAACCCUAAAAGUUCCCUCCUUUGGUUUUCAUGAGAUUCACCAAGCUUACCCAACAAAUGGGUCAUGGAGUGCUUAUAUAGUGUUUAGAUCCGGACAAAAUCGUGUCACGAUUUCCCAAAUCGUGACACGGUUGAUGCGUACGACCCAAGGUACGACCAACCUUAUCCUGAAACCGUGCCGAACAAGUUGAAAAUCGUGUCACGUUUUCCCAAAAUCGUGUCACGAUUGAACACAUCAAGGAACCAUGCUCACUACCUGCCAAAUCGUGACACGGUACACAAAUCAUGUCACGAUCCUGAAUUUUGCUAAAAAUCAUUUUUGAGGCACUUUGCAACAGUAUAGUCUUCAUCAAUACCGCACUUUUUCCAACUGCACAAGCACUACCAUGCAACAUAUAAUUAAAUUGCAAACUGGUAAGAAAUUGUUGUAAGCUGGGAAUUUCCUAUAAACAACCACAUGCCUUGGUAGUUGGUUAGGCCCAUUCACUUAAUUCUCAGGUUUGUAACCUGUCCUCCUUGAAUCUAGUAAAUGUAAAUCUUAAACCAGUCAACUUCUCCUAUGAAGAUUUGUUGCCCUUGAUAUCUAAAGGGACAUGAAAAACUAUGGAAGAGUUUUACAUAUUAAGCUUUACAUGAAGAGAUAUAAUUGAUUGACAAUGUAAAACUUUUAUACGUUCUAAGUGCAUGUUUUGUCUUGUUCACCCCUUCGAACAUUUCUGUCAAGUGCCAAUAGUCAACACACAAUGCUGCUAUAUUAAUUCAUGACAUCAUGGUCACAUUAUAAUUUCAUUCAGGUUGCACUAAGAUGGUGUACUAACAUGGACCGAGAUUAAAAGCUUCAACAAAGAGAGGAUGCAAUAAAAUCUUGAUAUAUUUGAUUUUGAGCUGAGGAUAUGAUUCCCUUUGAUAUAAAAGGAACAUGGGAAGCUACGGAAGAUUGUUAUAGAUUGGUGCCAGCAGCUUUGGCAUAAAAAAACUCUCCAUAGUCUUACAAGAUGCAAUAAUCUCUCCUGCAGUUAAUCAGGUAGAAUAAGAAUUUAACACCAGUUGAUUUGGUUCAUCCUGACGGGUUAAACAGGGCGGAUCAAGAAUUUAACACUAGUUGAGUUGAUUUGAUCAUGUCUUGUUUUUUUGGCGGGUUAAACGGCACGGAUCAACUUAGUAGUGGAACACAGAACUUCAACUCGUCUCGCUGGAAAUUGCGGAUUCAACGGGAUGGCACAGCAGACUUGGCCCGAUUUUUCACUCAUACUUGAGUGUUUUCUCUUAGUGUUUUAUCAAUAAAUUUACGCAAUAAACUUAUCUUUUUAAUUUUGGAAUUAAUUCAUAUAAUUGAACGGAUUGUGAUACUUUAAUACUGUUCUAUAUAUUAGAAUUUCUUGAGAUCUGGAAAAAACUAAAAAUAAUUGAAGAGUUGUGAUAACAUUAUCAUUGAGGGAACAUUUUGUUUCCGUAGGAAUGAUUGAUACAUGGAAGAAACAAAAUGAAAAAAAAUAUUAAUAACAGAAAAAAUUGUCAUCUGAGCAAAUUAGCCUCAACUAAUCUAUCUUAAUCUGUAUCCAAAAAAAAUAAAAAUCUAUCUUAAUCUCCAUUAGCAUGAUUUACAAAUCACUUAAGCGAGAAGUGAGUUGUAAGAAAGCAUCUUCACCGCAAGGAAUUGUAAGACCACCCAUUGGAUGAUCAUAUCCAAAUUCUUCUUCUGAUUGAUUUAGUAAUUCUUGAAACGAUGGCUGGCUCAAAUAUGAUACUGGAAUCACGAACCGCCUCAUUCUAUCUCCAACAUAGACUGCGAGAUAGCCUUUUGGGACUUCAAGUCCCUUGGCAGUCUCUUGUGUUUUGGAAAAUGAUGGCAUUCUGAUAAGCUUUGCUAUGCGGAAACCCAUUGUUUUUAUUAUGUAUGGCUCCUCACAAAAAGAUACUGAUGAUGGCAGAGGAUUGGAUGAGAAAGAAAUAUUUGAAUUCUUAUAAUUCAGAAUGCAAAAGAUUUAUGUUGAUUUGAGAAUCCAAGGAAUAAUGUAUAUAUAGUUUCUAAGGGCCUCUACAAACCAAUUAAUCAGUGAAUGUAAUUUGGUGAGCUGUGAUAGGGUCAAGUGAAGGACAAGGGAUCACAUGGUAUUGUCCUAUACAUAUUUUUUCAAGGAUUAGGAAGCUUAAUGGAAGAGCAUGCACAUACCCCACAUUGUGAGAUAAUGGCCAACAAAUAACCCUACUUGAAGUUUGAGACAAUGCAAUGGUGAAAGAAACCUGAUGUUUUUUCUUGCAUUUGGGUAUAGAUAAUCCAAUUGUAGACAUGCUUUAGACAUCUCACAUGUUUCUUCUAAUUGACAUUGCAGCAAAUAUACAUCUACCAACUGAAUAUAUAUCAUAUUUAUGUGAAACUUAUAAGGUUGUGUAGGACCUGAUUGAUAGCUUAAAAACAAAGACUGUGAGGAGGAAAAAAGAAAAUCGAUAUUGAACACAAGAUCAUGAUAUUUGCUUACCAGAACAGAACUUCGCGGUCCCUGCCUUCUUAAUUAAGUAUCAAGGUCAAUUAAACUUUCUAGUGGGGUGAUGUGUUGGUGUAUUAUCUGUUAUGACAUUUAGUCUUUGUGAAAUACUUCUAAGACAACACCAUGUGAUCUUAUAUAUGCUCUUGCCUCCUUGUAGAUUCUUUGACCCUAACCUAAAUUUUAAUUCUAUACUAUAGGAUACCCCUCCUUCACCAAUCAUUCAAGUAGGCAACUGUUUCUCAAAAUUAGUUCUUACAUCUAUAUAUAUUCAAGGCUACAAGCAUUUAGGACCAACACAAAACAUUCACAUCCUAAAGCAUUCAGAUUUCAAAAACUUGGUCUUUGCUUAAAAGUUUAUUUUAUUUUUAAACCAUUUCUUCUAAAGUUUUAACACAUACAACAAUGGGUUUUCGUUUCCCUGGUAUCAUCAGAAAGGCAUCAUUUUCUGCAAACCGAUCAGCUUCAAAAUCUGUGGACGUGCCAAAGGGAUAUCUUGCAGUAUAUGUUGGAGAGAAACAGACGCGGUAUUUAAUCCCCGUAUCAUACUUGAGCCAACCUUCAUUUCAAGGCUUGCUGAGUCAAGUUGAGGAAGAGUUUGGAUAUGAUCAUCCCAUGGGUGGCCUCACCAUUCCUUGCACGGAAGAUGUCUUUCAACAUAUAACUUCUUGCUUCAAUGGGCUAUGAAUCUGAGACCAAAAGAGUCUGACAUAGUUUAGUAGAGACAUUUUUUGUAAACUAGGCAUCUGAUGAAUUUAUGGAGUAUAUAUAUAUUUUUUGUUUAAUGAAAACGAAUUCGACUACUCAAGCUGAUCCUCUAUGUUUAUGUUUAUUGCACUUGCUAUAAGAAGAAAUUUUUUUUCCCUAGGACAAAGGUGAAACAUAAAUUUACCGAAGUGUACAAUAACAAUUCAGUAACAAAGUCAAUUGUUUCACUGAAUGACAUAGGCUGCAUUCUAUGGUGCCUGUUAGGAUAUCCUUAUCUAAAGAAUUGAAUGACUCAGGAGGCUAUAUGACUCACUAACCACCACAUGGUGUUGUCUUAUAGAUUUUCAUCAAGAGACACAAGAGAUUUUAGAAUAAUGGCAUUUUUUUUUUAGAAUAAUGAAUAAACAAGUAUUAGCUGUUGACUUGCUGUACAUAUUUCUGUUUAAAAAAAAAUUCAAAUGGGUACCUACUCGCUCCUUCAUCAGAAUGUGGGGCAUUCAACAUGUAUAAUUUUUUCAUCUUUGAUUGAAGACGUCCUACACAAUACCAUGUGAUCCUUCACCUUACUUUGCAUAGGCCUUCAAUCAUUUAUGAACCUAGUGGUUUUCCAAACAAUAAACUUAUAAAUUCAAGUAUUGCACAUACUUCCUAAUCAUAGUCUAUCAUUGUAACUUUUCCUUAGUUAUUUAUGUUAUAUUUAUAUUCAGAUUUCAGACUCAAUGUUAAAAUACAUUUUUUUUUUGAUGAAAAAUCCAAAACCUUUUUUUCCAUCCUUUUUAUUUCAAAUGUUUACAUAUAACUUUUAAUAUGUACUUCAAUAUAUGCACGAAAUGUUUCUAGUUACCUUGAAACACAAGUAACUUACUAGUGUUUCCAAUACAGUCAGGAACAGUUGCAUUCUUAUGAUCUUAAAUUCAUGAUGUUAACUUUGGACUAACAUCUAAUAUUAUUUGAUCAAUAAAUUUGUUGUUGAUCCCAAGGAAACAUAUUUAAGCAAUAAAUUUAUUUUCGUUUUGAUUCUGGAAUGAGUUCAUAUAACAAAUUAAUGAUGCUGCUGUAUAUCACAGAAUUUGUUGAAAUAUAGAAAAAGGUAAAAAUGAUUUAACAAUAUCUUGUCAUAGCAUUCUCAUUGAGGGAACAUUUUGUUUCCAUAGGAAUGAUUGAUACAUGGAAGAAACAAAAUGAAAAAAAUAUUCAUGACAGAAAAAAAAAAUGGUUCUGUGCUAAUUAGCCUUAACUAAUCUAUCUAAGUCUGAUUAGCAUGAUUUACGGCUCAAUUCAAUCGAGAAGUGAGUUGUAAGAAAGAAUCUUCACUGCAAGGAAUUGUGAGACCACCCGUUGGAUGAUCGUAUCCAUCCAAAUUCUUCUUCUGCUUGAUUUAGUAAUUCUUGAAAUAAUGGUUGGUUCAAGUAUGAUACUGGAAUCACGAACCGUUUCAUUCUAUCUCCAACAUAGACUGCGAGAUAGCCUUUUGGGACUUCAAAUCCCUUGGUAGAUGCUUGCGUUGAGGAAAAUGAUGGCAUUCUGAUAAGUUUUGCUAUGCGGAAACCCAUUGUUUUUUUUUUUUUUUUUUUUUUUUUAUGGUUAGAGGAUUUGGAUGAGAAAGAAAUAUUUGAAUUCUGAUAAUUUAUGAUGCAAAAGACUUGUGUUACUUGAGACCCAAAGAGUAGUGUAUAAAUAGUUGCUAAGGGACUCUACAAACCAAUUAGCCAAUGAAAGUAUUUUGAUGAGCUGUGAUAGGGCCUAGUGAGGGACAAGAGAUCACAUGGUAUUGUCUUAUAGAAGUCAUUUUCAAGGAUUAGAUGAAGUUAAAUGGAAGAACAUGCAAAUACCCCACUUUGUAACACAAAGGAAAAAUUAAAGACAGUGGAUUGAUGAAAGAAACCUGAUGUUUUCUGCUAUAGCUAAUCCAAUGGUUGACAUCCAUUAGACAUCUCAUAUGUUUCUUCUAAUUGAUGUUAUAGCUAAUAUACAUCUACCAGCUAAAUACAUCUCAGAUUUGUGUGCAACUUGUUAGGCUUGUGUUGGAACAGUGUGAGGAGGAGAGAAGAGAACCGAUAUUGAACACAAGAACAUGAGCCACUAUGAACCACAUUUUAUAUUUUUGCAUGACAGACUCCACAAAAUUUGCAUACCAGAACAAAACUUUGCGAUCCCUGCCAUCCUAAUCAAAUAUGAAGGUCAAUUAAACUUUCUAUUCCAUGAAUAGGUCUGUUUUAUGGUAGGGUAGGCCUCUAAGACAAUACCAUGUGAUCUUAUAUAUGCUCUUGUCUCCUUGUAGAUUCCAUGACUCCAUCCUGAUCCUAUACUACAGUAUAUACUUCCACUAAUAAUUCAAGUAGCCAAUGGUUUCUCAAAAUUCUUUUAUCUAUAUAAAUUUUAUAGGUUAGAACCAUUUAGAACCAACUCUAAUCAUUCACAUCCUAAAAACAUUUGCAAUUUGAAAAACUUGGCUAUUGCUUUUAAUUUUUUUCUAAAACCACUUCUUCUAACUUUUUAACACAUACAACAAUGGGUAUCCGUUUCUCUGGUAUUAUCAGAAGGGCCUCAUUUUCUGCAAACCGAGCAAUAUCAAAAGCUGCGGACAUGCCAAAGAGAUAUCUUGCUGUAUAUGUUGGAUAGAAACAGACACGGCAUGUGAUCCGCAUAUCAUACUUGAACCAACCUUCAUUUCAAGAAUUGUUGAGUCAAGCCGAGGAAGAGUUUGGUUACAAUCAUCCCAUGGGUGGCCUCACCGUUCCUUGCACGGAAGAUGUUUUCCAACAUAUAACUUCUCACUUGAAUGGACUAUGAAUCAAACACCAAAAUAGACUAACGUAGUUUUAGUAGAGAUAAUUUUUUGUAAUCUAGUUAUCUUAUCAGAUUGUAAAGAUGAAAAAUGUCAUUAGAUUGACAAAUUUAUAGCAUAAAGACAUUUUUUAAUGACAAUGAAUUCGACUACUCAAACAUCUCCUUUGUGUUUUUGGUUUAUUGCACUUAAAAACUUAUGAAAUAUGACUAUAUGAGUAAUGUUGCUUGCUAUAAGAAAAUUAAGGGACUAGGUAUCCUGAAAAUUAAGGGAAUUUUUAUUUAUUUUUAAUUUAUUUUUAAUUUUUUUUAUAAACUACAUAACAUUUUCAAAGCUCUUCAUCAAUCAUUUGUGUACCAAAUGGUUUUCCAAACCACUCUUUAUCUAUAUAUAUUUAGAGAUGAUUAUGGUUGCUGUCAGAAACAAUUAACUUCCUCUAAUCAUAGCCUAAUAUUUUAAUUUUUUUCCUAGUUAUUUAUGUUAAACAUAUAAUGGGCGACAUUGUUAUUGAGUAGGGUGAUGGUUCGUAACUAAAUACUAAAUAUUCAUAAAUCUAAAACCUUUUUCCAUCGUUUAUAUUGUAGAUGUUUACAUAUAAUUUUUCAUUAUAUACGCACAAAAUGAUUCUAGUAACCUUGACACACAAGUAAUUUAUUGCAGCCUUUCCAAUAUACUGUCAAGAAAAGUUGCAUUUAUGAUCUUAAAUUCAUGAUGUUAACUUGGAGUGUCUUCUGGUAAUGUUUGAUCAAUAAAUUUGUGUUUCAACAUGAGGAGAUAUAUUUAUGCAAUAAAUUUAUUUUCUUUUUGAUUCUGGAAUGAAUUCAUAUAGCAAACUAAUGAUGCUGUAUAUAAUAGAAUUUGUUGAGAUUUAGAAUAAGCUAAAAAUGAUUUAACAAUAUCUUGUACCAACAUUCUCAUUGAGGGAACAUUUUGUUUCCGUAGGAAUGAGUGUUACAUGGCAGAAACAAAAUGAACAAAAUAUUCAAAACAGAUAAAAAAAAAAAAGCCUUCUAUGCAAAUUAGAAUGAACUAAUCUAUAUUAAUCUCUAUUAGCAUGAUAUCUACAGCUCAAUUCAUGCGAGAAGUGAGGUUUCGGAAUUCAUCCUCGCUGCACGGAAUGGUAAGACCACCCAUUGGAUGAUCAUAUCCAUAUUCUUCUUCAGAUUGAUUUAGCAAUUCUUGAAAUGAAGGUUGGUUCAAGUAUGAUACUGGAAUCACAAACCGCCUCAUUUGAUCUCCAACAUAGACUGCGAGAUAGCCUUUUGGGACUUCGAAUCCUUUACUAGAUGCUUGUGUUGACGAAAAUGAUGGCAUUCUGAUAAGCUUUGCUAUGCGGAAACCCAUUGUUUUUUUCUUUUAUUGUUAGAGGAUUUGGAUGGGAAAUAUAUAUUUGACUUAUGAUAAUUUAGGAUGCAAAAGACUUACGUUGCUUGAGAACCCAUGGAAUAGUGUAUAUAUAGAAGCUAAGGAACUCUACAAAAUCAAUUAGCCAAUGAAAGUAUUUUGGUGAGCUGUGAUAGGGCCUAGUGACGGACAAGGGAUCACAUGGUAUUGUACUAUUGUCUUAUAGAAGUCAUUUUCAAGGAUUAUAGAUGAAGUUAAAUGGAAGAACAUUCAAAUACCCCACUUUGUAACACAACUAUGGAAAAAUUAAAGACAGUGGAUUGGUGAAAGAAACCUGAUGUUUGUUAUUGAAUUUUGGUAUAGCUAAUGCAAUGGUAGACAUGGUUUAGACAUCUCACAUCUUUCUUCUAAUUGACAAGGAAACUAAUAUACAUAUACCAGCUAAAUAAAUCAUAUUUAUGUGCCACUUGUAAAGCUUGCGUAGGACCUGAUUUAUAGUUCAGAAGCAGUGUUAGGAGGAAAAACGAGAACAAAUAUUGAACACAAGAUCACAAACCACCAGGAACCACAAUUUAUAUUUUUGCCAGACAAACUCCAUGAUAUUUGCAUACCUGAACGGAACUUUGCGGUCCCUGCCUUGCUAAAUAAGUAACAAGGUUAAUUAAACUUUCUCUUGCAUUGAUAAACCUGUUUUCAUGUAGGGAGAUAUAUGUUGGUGUAUUAUCUAAGACAAUUCCAUGCGAUCUUAUCUAUGAUCUUGUCUCCUUUGUAGAUUAUUUCUCGUUCACUAGUCAUUCAAGUAGCCAACAGUUUUUCCAUAUUCUCUUAUCUAUAUAUAUUAAAGGCUACAAGCAUUUAGGACCAACACAAAUCAUUCACAUCCUAAACCAUUCCAAUUUCAAAAACUUGCUUCUUGCUUACAGGUCUUUUUUUAAAACUGAAUAUUCUCAAGUUUUAACACAUACAACAAUGGGUUUUCGUUUUGCUGGUAUCAUCAGAAAGGCAUCAUUUUCUGCAAACCGAUCAGCUUCGAAAGCUGUGGACGUGCCAAAGGGAUAUCUUGCAGUAUAUGUUGGAGAGAAACAAAAGCGGUAUGUGAUCCCAAUAUCAUACUUGAACCAACCAUCAUUUCAAGACUUAUUGAGUCAAUUUGAGGAAGAGUUUGGAUAUGAUCAUCCCAUGGGUGGCCUCACCAUUCCUUGCACCGAGGAUGUAUUUCAACAUAUGACAUCUCGCUUGAAUGGCCUAUGAAUCUGACACCAAAACAGACUGACAUAGUUUAGUAGAAAUAUUUUUUUGUAUUCUAGUUAUCUCAUCAAAUUCUAAAAGAUGAGAAGGAAAUGACCAUUAGAUUAGCAAAUUGUAAAUAUGUUUUGUUUAAUGAGAAUGAAUUCAACUACUCAAGCAGCUCUUUUACGUUUUUGGUUUAUCGCACUUAAUGAACUUAUAAACUUAUGAAAUACGACUAUAUGAGUAAUGUUGUUUACUAAAAGACAAAAAUACUUUGUAUUCUGAAACAUUUCAAAGCAGGACUAGAACACAUAUUCCUACAAGGGUAUAGCAAAAUUAAUUUUCAUAGGACAAAGGUGAAACAUAAAUUUACAAAGUUUUCUUUUUAAUAACUACAUAACAUAGACAUGAGGUAACUUCCCUUCAUAAAGAACAAGUGCACAAUAACAAUUCAGUAACAAGGUCAAUUAUUUCACUGAAUGACACAGGCCUCAUUCCAUGGUCCCUGUUAGGAUAUCCUUAUUUAAAGAGUUGAAUGGUUAGUACUUAGUAGGCUAUAUUAUAUGACAGGGUUUAGUAUGAGACAAUGGCUCACGAACCUCCACAUGGUGUUUUAGAAUAAUGGCCCACUUUGAAGAUGAGUUGCCCACAUUUUUAUUGCUCGAAUAAUUACCUUGUUCUUUCAUCCACAUACACUUGUUUUGUCGUUUGCACACAACGUCAACUUGAUAUGCCACUGACUACCAUUAUCAAGAGUAAUUUUGAUACAACGUCACCUUUAGUCAACAAUCAGCUCUGAUACCACUGUUGGAUCAUGAGGGGAGCCUAGGGUUAAUCACAUUGGCCUAGAGCAAUCACAUAAGUGGCUUCGACAUCACAUCUUGAAUCAAAACCAUUUGCCAUCAGAUAAAUGAGUCAUUUGUCCUAACAAAUAAUGCAUCGCCAAAAUGAAGGAAUGAAUAUGACAGCUAAAGGAAAUUUCUUCAAUUGUUGAUACAUUAGCUGCACAUUACUAUCAGUCAUUGGUCUGCUAGAAGCAUAAAUUCAAUGGUUGCGUGUUAUAAUGUCUUCUGCAGUCAAAAUCAAUGGCUUUCUUUAUCAUAACAGCUUGCAGGACUAGUACUUUGUGAAUAGCACGGAAAGUCCUUUUGAUUGAAUAGUCUUCAUUGUUGUAUAUAUGGUGGGAAUUGAUUAUGAGUAAUCACAUGACUUGGCAGUUGGUAAGGACCCUACACACUUGAACUUUCAGGUGAAGUUUUCAUCUCUUCAAAGUCAUGAAUACAUAUGCACGCCAAUGAUCCUAUAGUCCCAACUAUAGUAUUAUAUGAUAUAAUGAGGAAGGGAAAGAAAGACCUCACACUAACAAUUAUUAAUAAUUAAUCAUAACCGUUGAUUGAUAUUAAAAUGGAAGGUCAAAAUUUGGAGUAACUAUAGAGACUUACUCUUGAUCUUGGAGUCAAUAUAUUCCUCCUCUAAUGAAAUAUAUCUUCAAAAUGGUUACGAUUUAAAGAAUUAAAAUAAAUCAAUGAGUUAAUAUAACCAUUGUCAAUGGACUAAAACAAUUUUAUUAAAGUAUUGCACAUGAUUAAACAAUUGUAGUGGAUGCCACAUGUAAUGUUUGUUUAGAAUGUCAAGGAGACAUGUCAUGUGUAUUUAGGUAUUCUAUUGAUUGUGAAUUGUAUGGUAUACAUAUGAGAUGUCACAAUUUUUUUUUUGUUUGAGGGAAUGUCACAUUUAACUAUUGUCAUGUAUUUAACAAUUGCACCAAUUUUAGUGAUAACCUAGUCACCAAGAAAACCCCUAUUAAAAAUAUUCAUACACGAUCUUGAUUUGGUCAUUGCUUUGGUCAUUAGGGAACAAAUAGUCAAAUAGUCAAUAAUAUAAUAAUUGUAAGGCUAAAAUAUGGUUUAGUCCCUGCAAAUAUGGCUCGUUUUGGUUUUAGUCCCUGCAAAAUAUUUUGUUUUUGAAAAUAGUCCCUGACCCCACUUUUGUGAUGAUUUGCAUACGUGGCACAAUAUAACUAAACCAAUUUUGUAGUUUUUGGUCCCUGCAAAAUAUUUUGUUUUUAAAAAAGGUCCCUGCAAAUAUUUUUGUUUUUGAAAAUAGUACAGGGACUAUUUUCAAAAACAAAAAUAUUUGCAGGGAUCAAAAAUAACAAUUUUUUUAUACAGAGACUAAAACGAAAAUGAGACAUAUUUGCAGGUAUUAAAACCAUAUCUUAACCUAAUUGUAAUAUCUUAUCUGUGUCUUAGACUAUCAUUUAUAAAUUAUAAACUCAAAUCUCAAAGUUAACAUUUAUAAGGGACAAUUGUGAAUUGUGUGAAGCUUGUGCCUUGAACCAACACAAAGAAGAAAAAAAAGAUGGAAACAAAGAAAGUUCCAGAGGUGGUACUAAAUUCAGGGAAAAAGAUGCCAAUGAUAGGCUUUGGAACAGGAACAACUCCUCCUCAACAAAUUAUGCUUGAUGCUAUUGACAUUGGCUACAGACAUUUUGAUACUGCUGCUCUUUAUGGUACUGAAGAACCUCUAGGCCAAGCUGUGUCAAAGGCUUUAGAGCUAGGCCUCGUUAAAAAUCGCGAUGAACUCUUCAUUACUUCCAAGUUAUGGUGUACUGAUGCUCAACAUGACCUUGUUCUCCCAGCUCUCAAAACCACCCUCAAGCAAGCAUAAUUUUCUUAACCUUUUUUCUACUUCUUUCUAGUUUGUGCAUUUUAUUACUUGCCUAAUAUUAUUGUUUUGGUUUUUUUGGAUUGAAAUUUUUAGAAAUCUGGGAUUGGAGUAUGUUGAUCUCUAUUUGAUUCACUGGCCAGUAAGGUUGAAACAAGAUGCUGAAAGCUUAAAAUUUAAAAAGGAGGAUAUGAUUCCCUUUGAUAUAAAAGGAACAUGGGAAGCUAUGGAAGAAUGUUAUAGAUUGGGCCUAGCAAAGUCUAUUGGUGUCAGUAACUUUGGUGUCAAAAAGCUCUCCAUACUCUUAGAAAAUGCCGAAAUCGCUCCUGCAGUUAAUCAGGUAAAAGAAUUUAGCACUAGUUGAUUUGAUUCAUUUUGACAUAUAGAUCAAAUACACUUAAUUGGUUGCCUAAGUCACUUCAAAAUCGAAAAGCAUCAGACAUGUAUAAACGUAUCCGAUACUGAUACAUGUCAGACACUUCCCUAUAUGAAAAGUAUCCAAUAAUUUAUUCUCAUUCUUUCUAGAAAUAUUUCCACUGAAACUUCUCGAAUACAUUUUCAUUACUUUCGUACCGACUAAGCACACAAUUGUCAUCUAUAUAUGAUACAUCUUACUAAUCAUAGAGACACAGUGUUAUAUGUUUUUGUUACAAAUUUUUGUUUGGAUUUAGGUGGAGAUGAACCCAUCAUGGCAACAGGGGAAACUAAGAGAAUUCUGCAAGCAGAAAGGAAUCCAUGUGAGUGCAUGGUCACCACUAGGAGGAUACAAACUAAGUUGGGGUUCGCCUACAGUGAUGGAGAAUCCAAUUCUGCACGAAAUUGCAGAGGCUAGAAAGAAGAGUGUAGCCCAGGUGCAGCUCAUUAUUUUAUUUCCUAUGUUUAGCCAAUUAAAAUUUUAAUAAGGUUUUUAAAAUAUACAUCCCUUAUUUGUUUUAAAAUUCAGCUUCUUUUUUUAAAUGGUCAAACUUUAGUCUUGGUCAUAGAAGUCCUAAUAUAAUAUCACAUCAUGAACCAGCUCUUCAAAACCUUAGAUUGUUAGGUGAGAAUAAAUAAAUGGUUCUAUAUUUGAUAUCUUUUAACAGUUGAAACUUAUCAAAGUCAUAUACAUAUACUACUACUACUACUAUAUUGAGAUGACUGUUACACUGAAAGAAAGUCUAUUUCUAAUAUUGACAUAUAUUAUGCAGAUAGCACUAAGAUGGAUAUACCAGCAAGGGGCAAUUCCCAUUGUGAAAAGCUUCAACAAGGAAAGGAUGAAACAAAACAUUGAAAUAUUUGAUUGGGAAUUGAACCAAGAAGAAUUAGACAAAAUCAGUCAGAUUCAUCAAAGCAGAUUUCAAAAGGCAGAAAUAUUUGUAUCUGAUAAUGGACCUUACAAAACCUUGGAAGAGCUGUGGGAUGGUGAUGUUUGAGCAAACUCUUGUUUGAAUAAAUGAUGGGAUCAUGGAAAGUGUAUGAGCUGCUGAAUAGUUAUAAGUAGUAAAAUAAUGCAAAAAGGGUUUUGCUCAAGAGAUUAAAGACAUCACAAAUAAGAUUUAAAUUGUACUCAAAUCCAAGUUCCUUAUGUAAGUGACCUUAAAUAAGAGAAAACACUAAGAAGGGUAAUCUAAAAACAUGGAUCUAAUGACUAUUCCUGGACUAGAGAAUCACAUGGCAUGCUAUCUCAAAUAACUGAUACAUUAUACUUCCUUUCAAUGUAUAAAUCAUGCUAAGGGUUAUCAAUCCCUACAAAGCAUGAAGUAUGAAAUCAUUACUUACAAUUUAAUCUUUAAAUUAAUCACGCGUAGAAGUUUAUUCUGUGUAUAAAUUCUUAUUGAUUAAUUCUACUUUAUCUCUCUUUAGCUCUUGUGAAGUACAGUAAUUUGAUCUAAAUUCUGUAAACUCGAAAAUUAACUCGUGCAUAUACUGAAAUUUAAAGACUAAACUUAAACCAGAAGUCAGUAGAUAUUGCCUUUCUUUGGCAGAAAACAACGUGGAUCCUACUCCACUAGUUCAACGGUCAAUUUCCUUCCAACAAAAUCAAAGCAACAGAGUUCUUUUAAUAAAUAUAUACUGAGUCCUAAGAUUGCGAUUGCGUAAAGGUUACUUAACAAUCCAACAAAUCUAUUACUGAUCCAAAACCAGUAGAGACUCCCAGAUGGUUUUGAAAUAAAACAUAUUUUCGUCGUUCAUAGUAAAGUAAAAUUUGUUUUUUUCGUGAAUUAUGGAAUAGGAAAAAAACUAAGCAUAUGCAAGUCAAAUAAGUCUCUUCGUAUUAUAUUUCUGCGUAUAAGUUUAAUUUGCAAUACAAAUUAACUGAAAAGUUUCCUAAGCAAGUCAUAAUCUCUCUGUUUAUAAUAACCUGACUCGGUUGUUUUUCUAUUUUUUUUCUUCAUUUAAAUAAGGUAGACUAAGUAAGUGCCUGCUGUACAAUUUUUCCUCAAAUAAUCUAUUUCAGUUCCUUCUUCUGAAGAUGUUAGCACAGAUUCAAACGAGAAGUAAUAUUUAAGAAAACGUCUUCUCUGCAAGGAAUUGUGAGACCACCGGUUGGAUGGUCAUAUCCAAAUUGUUCCUCGGCUUGAUUCAACAAUUCUUGAAAUGACGGUUGGUUCAAGUAUGAUAUUGGGAUCACAAACCUCUUCAUUUCAUCCCCAACAUAUACUGCAAUAUAUCCCUUUGGCACAUUCGUGCAUUUUGAAGAUGCUUGGUUUGAAGCCCUUUUUGAGACAACAGGUAAUCGGAAACCCAUUCUUGUAUAUAUGUGUUUUUAAAAGAAGAUAUUGAGCUAAGAGUGAAAGACUUGUGUAUAAGAAGAUUGUUUCUGAAUAUCAAAUAUUUUGGGUUGUGAAUGAUAUUGUGUUGGUUAUAAAAGCUUGCAGCCAUGAAUAUAUAUAUAUAUAGAUGAGUGAAAGGAUAUGGACCAAGCAGUCGGCAACUUGAAUGAUCAGUGAAGGAGGACCAUGAGAUUUGAGUCAUUGGGAGCCAUAGAACCUAAGGUAGACAAGGACAUAUAAUAGUUCACAUGGUGUUACCUUUGAAGAUUAUCUAAAGGGUCAACAUCAAAUGUCAAAAUAGUAGAUCAUGCAUGUCCCACCUCCUUAAGUAGAGGACAUCGUAUAUAUAAUUUUUGUUGUUGUUCAUAAAAAACAAUAUAUAUAUAAUUAAUCCACUUGAAAUAAAACGCAUGAUCACAAACAUGUAGUAUGGUGUAUGUAUGAUCUCUAGAUGUUGAGAAGAUAAAUGACCUACCAGCUGGACAUCAACAUUAUCAAGAUGAAGAAACAUGUAUAAUGCAUGUUUACAAAAUUAUGAAAACCAAUAAUUUGGAUGUAUUUAGAAAACCAAUUUCAAUACUUUUCUGUAACAUCGAAAAUUCCAGAGUUCGAUCCAUUUAUCUGUUUAAUGCUUUUUUUGACUAAACCAAACCAAUUUCAAUAGUUUAUAUAUAAUAAUAAGUCGAGCCUGUCAAGGUGAAAAAGUAAAAAUUUAAUUUUGAUGGUCGUUUGAUUCUUUUGAAGUCUGUCAUAUACAUCCUCUAUUAUUUUAUAAUGUUUUUUUUUUGGUGGGUCGAGGAUUUUAGAAAAAUUCUUUGGGUCAGUUGGGACUCUAUUUGUUUGGGCAAGGAGGUCAGUGGUUUGGGGGUUAGGAGAAGGCGGGAGUUUAACCUUGUUUUAUUAGGCAAAUGGUGUUAGAGGAUGUGUGUGGAAAGAGGGAGUUUGUGGUAUAAAAUUUUAGUGGUUAGGUAUACUGUGAGGUAGGGGGCGGUUGAAGGAAGGCAUGAGGGAAGUGACAGUGUGGGAGAUUUUCUUAAAUAACCCACACCCAUUUUAAUUUUCCAAACACAUAAAUCUCCCAUCAUUUUAUUCAUUUCAAUGACUUUAUAAAUAUACAAUUUAAUUUCAGUCAUUUUGGUUUGUUUGCAUCUGUUUUCUCUUUUUACAAUUAAGUUAAAUGAAGUUUUUUUCUCUCGCAAUAAACAAACAGUAACAACAUUUGGUUUUAACUACUAAAUAGAAUCAAACAUCGGCAAUUACAGAAGAGAUUAAAAGAGAAUAUAGAAAUGAGAAUUUUUUUUGUUGAUGGACAUUGUGGUUAAUCAAUGAAAAAGAAAUAAUAUUCGAUAUAUCCGUUUUAUUACUUUAGAGUUUAAAAAUUAAACCACCUUGACUAAGGAACAAUAAGUUGGGAAAAUUCACCAAAGUGAAAAAUAGAAAGAAAAAAAGGUCAAAAACUAAGUGAGUUCAUACUCGUAUGAAGAAGUUAAUUGCUCAAAAAAAAUGGAAUUAAUAAAGUUUAAACUGUGUUAUAUUAUAUGGGAGGUGCUUGUCAAUUUGAUAAAAAAAAAAAAGAGAGAUUAGUGUUUAGUUAAAAAAUAGAACGGGUGUUUGUGUUAUUUAAGAAAACCUUACGGGAGGUUAGUGUAAUUUGCCCAUAAUUUUUUUAAGAGUAAUUUGCCCAUGAUAAAAUCAUUGAAAUAAUUGUUAUUAAAUAAUAAAGAUUUCUUUAUUGAUAAAGAUGUCGUUAGAAGCCUCGUAUAUGAAUUGUACAAACUAUAUUAUUUAGUGAUUCAUUUAUCAUUUUUUUUAGUGUUUUUUAUAGUCAAGAUAUAAUAAUUAAUAAUCUACAACAAUAAAAAAUAUUAUUUUAUAAUAUGACAUGGUGGCCUGAGGAUUCAAGGUGCUUGUUUGCCUACACCUGUUUCUUCAACUCGAAAGAGCUUUUAUGCUUGCGGAUUUGUUCAGGGAGUUUUUGGCACUUGGAUUUUGAUAUCGUGUUGACAGUUGAUCCAUUUAUUGUUCUUCACAGAUGUUCAUUUUUAAUUUUUUUUUCAAAUAUGGCUUCGCGCCUGUAUACGGAUUCACCGGUUUGCGUCUGUGAUUAGUGAACUUUUUUAAAAUAGAUUAGGAUCGAUACAUUUGAUCUGAUUUAUUAUGUUGUAUCACCGUUUUGGGUUGCACCUGAUUCAGGACUAAUACCCCUAGCAUCUUUAUCUAUUUAUUUUUUUAUUUAAUAUAAUUUUCCUUUUGAAAAAAAAAUAAAAUAAAGAAAAAACAAAGGAAAAUUAUUUUUAAAAAAGAAGCAAUCUUGAAAACGUGUAAUUUUUUUGAAAAGUAGGCAUAUGCCUUCUAAUGAAUAUUUUGUAACUUUCUUGAAGUUAUGUUUCAUUUUUUUUUUUUUUUUUUUUUUUUUUUUUAAGAAUGAAGUUAUGUUAUUUUGUGAUUACCAAUCAUAUAUAAUUGAACAUUUUUUUCUUCUUUAUUUUGUUAGUGAAAAUAUUUUUUCAGUGUCUUGUUAGUAUCAACGAUAAUUGUCUCAACCGUAUUUUUUUAUUUUACUGAUAAGUGAAACAUAUUUAUUAAAAUUUAUAUUUAUAAAUAUUUUUUUAGAUUAAAUAUGUAAAUAAUUGUCAUUUUUUUAUUGAAUUACCUACAAAAGAAAAACUCAUACGAAAGUAGUUCUUUUUUUUGGUCAAGUAGUCUAGUGACUAGCUAGAGCUCACACAAUUAAAUUGUGGAGAAGUAGAAUGUUCGGGGUUCGAACCCUGACCUCUGCAUAUAAUAUUCAAUAUCCCUACAAAUUGCAAAGAGAAAAUAUAAUAGGAAGAUUGUUAUAUUGCAUUUCAGUAUCGUAAAAGAGAAAAUAUAAUAUGAAGAUUGUUAUAUUGCAUUUCAGUGUGAGAUAAAAGCAUAUGAACAUCAUAAAACUUUUUUUUUGGUACAAUCUUAAAACUUAUUUUUAACAAAUGUAAAUUGAAUAUAUGGUCCCCUUUUAAUAAGUAUCAUAAAACUUAUAUUGAUAUUCAAUCAUUUAGAGGUUAUUUUUAGAGCUUUUUUAAAAAACAUGAUCAAUUAUCACUACAAGAAAAAAAACAAGAUUUGCUACCCAAAACUUGCUAUAAAAUGUUUUUUUUUUUUUUGGUACUGAGCUAUAAAAUGUACUUUUUUUUUUGGUAGUGAGCUAUAAAAUGAAUUGGUAGUUAAUUUAGGAGAAAACUUAGGUACAAUUUCUUAUGUGCUUUUUGUAUAGUUCUUAACUAAAAAUACAUUUUUUUUGGAUAUAACAAACUUUGAGAAAAUUAUGAAUUUGAGGAAAUUAUGGUAAAUUUAGUUAAGAACCAUACGAAAAGCACCUAAGGAAUUGUACUUAAGUUUUCUCCAUAUUAAAUCUCUUAGCUACCAUUUGACCUUGACCAUUUAAUUUUUAUUAUUUUUUAUAAAUAUAUAUAUAUAUAUAUAUAUAUCAAUAACAAUCACUUCUUUGAAAAAGAUAUUUGUCUGAAUACAACUAUAUAAAACAUAUUUCUUUUACAAAUUUAUCUUCAUUUUUUUAUACUUAUUUUCUCCCUCUCUUAUAUUUUUUGAAAAGUUACUAUAACCUCUUUUCAUUUAAAGACUCUUUUAGACUUUUUUAACCUGGUUUUAAAAAAAAUUAUAAUAAACAAGCACAAUGCUCUUUAAUUUUUUUUUUUAAGUUAUAGCAAACCCUUUGGGGCUUGUUUGUUACGAAUUAAAAUGAAAAUAUUAUUGAAAUUCAUAAUUUAGUGAUUUUUAAAAUUUUUAUAAAAAAAAUCAUAAUCUAUUUUGUGUUUGCUUAUUGUAAUAAAAUCAUUUUUUUAAAUAAUUUAAUUUAUUUAGAUAUAUCAAUAUAAAAGGAACUUUUUUGUUACAAAAUCACAUCAAUCUUUUAAAAGUUAUUUUCUCUCUCGACUAAAUAGGAUAUUUUGUUACAAAAGACACAGAAAGGUUAACAUAUGUCGAGAUAUCAAAAAAUUAAGAUGGGGCAAAAGUGUGUUUUUACUGAUUAUUAACUUUGAUAAUUAGAGAAAGAUAAUAGAUUAGUGUGUUUUAAGUUGAAUUAUAGGAAAACUUGUUUUAAUUGGGAUAAGAUUAAGUUUGUUUGUUGUUAAAAAAAAGAUUAGGUUUGUUUGUUCUUUAAAAUAAGAUUAAGUUAGUGUGUUUGAUUGAGUGAGUUUGUUUUAGUUUGUUUUUAAGAGAGAAAAUAGAAGGUGGUUGAAGUGAAAGACAUAAAAGAAUAUAAUUUUGAAGACAUGUCAAAAAAUUAAGAAGAGAUAAAAUUGUAUUUUUUAUGAUCAUUAAAUUUCAUAAGUCGAGAAUAGAUGACACCUACAUGAAGCAACAGCCUAGAAAAAUCCUAACUAUCAACUUCCUUUAACCGUUAUUCGUUAUCAAAGCUUACUUCCCUCCUAAGUAAACGCUAGCGCCUACUAAAUUAAAUCUCAAUCUAGUUAUCCACUUAUUAUAAUCCCCUUUUUUUCAGUAAUCGUAACCACUAUAUAAAGACUCACUCAGCACCCAACUUAACAUAUCAUAACAUACCAUACUACCAUCAAGUUCAAGUCAGAAGAAGAAGUCAUGAAUCAUCGUAACCAAACUUUCAUGCUGUUCUCUGUCCUUUUCCUGUUCUUCUCUGUCGACUUGGCAUUCUCGAUGCCGAAGGAUAGAGAAGAUCCAAUAAUCCAGCAGGUGGUCGAUAAGGGAGGAGCUGAGUAUCAAUUUAAUGAAUUCAAGCAAAGGUUUGGUAAGGUUUAUUCCUCCAAAGAUGAACAUGAUUAUAGGUUCAACGUCUUCAAGUCUAACCUUCACCGUGCUAAGAGACAUGGGAUAAUGGAUCCUUCAGCAACUCAUGGUGUUACAAGAUUCUCCGAUCUUACUCCGAGGGAGUUUCGUAAUAGCAUCUUGGGAUUAAAAGGAGUAGGGUUACCGAGACAUGCAAAAGCUGCACCUAUUCUUUCGACCGAGAACCUUCCUCGUGAUUUUGAUUGGAGAGAAAAAGGAGCGGUUACCCCGGUUAGGAAUCAGGUAUAUAUUGUUUCUAAUUAUGAUUAUUAUUGUUGCUGUAAUUUGUUUAUUGUUUUGUUUAAUAUUUUUAUUUUGGAUUUGUAACUAUGAAUUAGGGUUUCUGCGGUUCAAGUUGGAGUUUCAGUACGAUUGGUGCACUCGAAGGUGCUCACUUCCUCUCUAGCGGAGAACUUGUGAGUCUUAGCGAGCAACAUCAUGUUGACUGUGAUCACGAGUACAUUCAAAAAUAUGGUGGGCUGAUGCGAGUGGAGGACUAUACUUAUUAUAAGACAAACACUGCACGAUCGGUGGCGGCAAAUUUCAGUUCUAUUUCGGUUGAUGACAACCAAAUCACCGCCAAUCUCGUUAAACAUGGACCUCUUGCUGGUCAGUAAUACUCUAAACAAUUUGAAUUGUAAUUAUUAUUACUAUUAUUUUCUUAUAAUUGUCUAAUUCAAAUGUUCACAAAUGCAGCUGCAAUAAACGCGGUAUACAUGCAGACAUACGUGGGAGGAAUAUCAUGCCCAUACAUAUGUACAAGGAGGCUGGAUCUUGGAGUUUUGCUUGUGGGGUAUGGUUCUGGAGCUGGAGCUGAUAUGAAGGAGAAGGAGAAGCCGUAUUGGAUCGUUAAAAACUCGUGGGGUGAGACCUGGGGAGAGAACGGAUACUACAAGAUUUGCAGAGGACGAAAUAUCUGUGGAGUGGACUCAAUGGUUUCUACUGUGGCUGCUGCUCACACUACUACUCAGUGACAGUAGUAUGAUUUCUAUCUCAUACAUGUACCAACCUUCAUUUCAUUUCAAGACUUGUUGAAUAUGAUCAUCCAAUGGUUGGCCUUCCUAUUCCUUGCACCGAAGAUGUCUUCCAGCACAUAAUGUCUCGCUUGUAAAGCUCACACUAUUGUUGGAGACUGGCAUAGUUUACUGUUAGUAGAUCCAUUUUGAACAUGAGACAUCUUAUCAAAUUGUAAAGACCCUACAGAGAUAGGAAAUGUAAUUAUCAUAAAAAUGAUAGAUUUUGACUAUGCAUUUUUCGUUUGAUGAAUAAUGACAAUGAAUUCGACUUUUCAAGUAGCUCCUAUGUUUUUUGUUUGUUUUAUGUUAAAAUUUUCACUCUUCCUUGCAGUCAGACCUUCCAAAAUAUAAGCAGGACUGCUUGGUAUCAGAAAAAACCGACUUGGUGUUCUGAUAAAUUUCAAAGCACGAACAGUACACAUGAAAGGGCAGAACCGUUGUAUUUUUGUAUGGCUCAAACAUGAAAGUUAAAUUUCAGGAAAAAAAUUAUUUUAAUAACUAUAUAAUAUAGAUAAGAAAUUUAAGAUUUGGAGUGCCAAAGUCCCAAUCAUAGUUCCCUUCAUAGGCAAGUGCACAAUAACAAUGACUUAGAAUUGAGGUUAGUUAAUCCCUUGAAUAACACAUUCUCAGUCUACAGCAAAAACUUGUUUUGCUACCUUUGAUGCAUGGUUUAUCUGUAGUCCAUGACUGUAUCUUUUCUACUCUCUAAGUUUUGUUUACUGAAAUUUUAGAUAUACCUCUAAAUUUCCAAAAUUUAUUGAUCAGUUUGUACUUAUCAGAUUUUGAUGCUAGUUGUGGUUAAGUUUAAUUGAAGUUUCUCUACAAUUUCAAAUUUUAUCAUUCUAUUUUUUAAUUAAUUCCAGUGGCUAAAAUAGAAAAUAAAUAAAAAAAUUCUAAUCUAACAAGUACUUCAAGAAACCAAAUUCACUUUACAAUGGACUUGUUUGAUACCAAAUUCAGGUUGUUUAUUUGGCACAACUAUGGGACCAACAUGUCUACCAAUUUCCAAUUUCCAAAUUCAGUUUGUGUUAUUAUCUUAUCUCAAAUUCAUUAUUUUGUAGCUAUAUGGUAGAUUUCAUGGGUCAUAUAUUUUGUAACUCUAGGAUCAACAUGUCUAUCAAAUUUGAGGAACCUAUCUGAUAGAAUAUUGUCAGAAAAUUUUGGCAUUCUCUUAUCUCGAAUUCUCUAUUUACUAGUUAUCAUGUAGACAUAGAAUAUUUUCAGAAAUUGUGGACUUCCCUUAUCUCAAAAUCCAUUGUUUAGUAGCUAUAUGGUCGAUUUCAUGGUUCAUAUAUCAGAGCCUAAUUUGAGGAAUCUAUGUGAUAUGUCUUGAACUUGUCAUGUUGCAAGAAUACAAUUAUUGGCUUAUUGGCUGUAAAGUCUCCUAUAUCUUUCUAUAUAUACUCAUCAUUACAUUCUCAAGCAGCAUUACAAGUCACAAAUACAAUUUCAAAAGUUUCUUGCUUUCAUACACAAGCUGUUGUAUUCAUCGUUAUUGUGUUGCAACUCUUAAUAACAAUAUGGGAUUCCGUUUACCUGGUAUUAAAAUGUCAUCGUCUUCCAAGGCUGUGGAUGAAGUUUCAAACUGAAGCUGUUUGUGAUUUCCAUUUUAUUAUUGAACCAACCUUCAUUUCAAGAAUAAUAAUUAAGCCAAUUAGCAGAAGAAUUCUAAGAGCUCACAUCUCGCUUCAAUGUUAAAUCUCACAAACUCUAACGAAGACUUACAUAGAUAUUAGUUAGCUAAGACUAAUUGUACAUCAGAUAUCUUCAUUUUUCAUUCUUUUCUUAAUGGAAAUGACAGCUAACUGAGAUAGUUAUGAACAGAGAUUUUUGACUUGUCGGUCAAAUUUCAAAGAACUCUGUAUACAUCUUAUUUUUGCACAAAAGAUUAUAUAUAGAAACAGAACCCUUUUUACAAAUUCUCUCUUGGUUUUCUUUGUUUUAUUACUGCUUAUUAUAUCUGCUUUUCUGUGUGUAUAUAAACACCAAUUUUCAUUGGUCUUUGAAACUAGCUCAAAAGUUUAUUAUAAAGUUCGAGCCAACACAAAUGUAUCCUAUGUGGUGAAGUUUUCACCCAAAACCCCUAGUUUCAGACCCAAAAGCCCUAGCUAUCCAUUUCACCUGAAAUCCCUUCGUCUAUUAACCAUUCCUUGAAAGAAAGGCACCUGUUUGUUUGCGGUUUGAAAAAGGUAUGAAUGAGAUGCACGCUUGUAAUUUGUACCAUCUAUUGUCUGUGCUAGUCAGAGGAUGAUAUAAAGGCUCGGCGAGACUGAAAAGAGGAAGAUCUAUCAAUUAUGUCAAGGGACAACUCUUCAGUCUAGUUGAUUAUAAGAAUAAAUUACUCUUAUACAUUGAGUAGUUGAUAAAAAUGUUUUUUUGUCUUGUUCAUCCAUUAGAAUAUUUCUGCCAAUAACAACAAACAAUGUUGCUUGCUAUAUUAAUUCAUGACUCAAUCAAACCCCUUCUAUAAACAAAACAAACAUUCACUAUCUUGCUUUGUCAUAGAGGACACACACUCAAUAAUCAAUAUUAAAAUAAUAAUAAUACUAACAACAUCUUCUUUGCGUUUUGAACUAUUAUUUAUAGUCACAUUGUGAAUUGUACGAAGCUUAAGCCUUGAACCAACACAAAAAAGAAGAUGGAAAUAAACAAAGUUCCAGAGGUGAUACUAAAUUCAGGGAAAAAUAUGCCAAUGAUAGGUUUAGGGACAUCAACAAGUCCCUCUCCACCACAUGAAGUCCUCACCUCAAUUUUGGUUGAUGCCAUUAAAAUAGGCUACAGGCAUUUUGAUACUGCUUCUAUCUAUAAUACUGAAGAACCUCUAGGCCAAGCUGUGUCAAAAGCUUUAGAGCUAGGCCUCGUUAAAAAUCGCGAUGAACUGUUCGUUACUUCCAAGUUAUGGUGUACUGAUGCUCACCAUGACCUUGUUCUCCCAGCUCUCAAAUCCACUCUCAAGCAAGCAUAAUUCUCUUAACCUUUUUUUCUUCUUCUUUUAAGUUUGUGUAUUUUAUUUGUCUAAUAUUGUUGUUUUGGUUUUUUGGAUUGAAAUUUUUUAGAAAUCUGGGAUUGGGGUAUGUGGAUCUCUAUUUGAUUCACUGGCCAGUAAGGUUGAAACAAGACGUUGAAGGCCAUAACUUUAAAGGUGAGGAUACAAUUCCUUUUGACAUAAAAGGAACAUGGGAAUCUAUGGAAGAUUGUUAUAGAUUGGGCAUAGCAAAGUCUAUUGGUGUCAGCAACUUUGGUAUCAAAAAGCUCUCCAUGCUCUUAGAAAAUGCCGAAAUUGCUCCUGCAGUUAACCAGGUAUAUGAAUUUAGUACUACUUGAUUUGAUUCAUUAUGCCUCAGUUGCUUCAAAAUGGAAGAGCAUCAUACACGUAUCGUCAGAUAUUUCCCAAAACUUAUAGUAUCCAAUAAUUUAUUGUAAUUCUUUCGCAAAAUAUUUCCUUCGAUACUUUUUUACCAACUAAGCACGCAAUUGUCAUCUAGAUAUGAUAUAUCUUACUACUUAUAGACACAACGAGCAUCAUACAAAUUCAUAUUUGGAUUUAGGUGGAAAUGAACUCAUCAUGGCAUCAGGGGAAACUUAGAGAAUUCUGCAAGCAGAAAGGAAUCCAUGUGAGUGCAUGGUCACCACUAGGAGGCUACAAACUAAGUUGGGGUUCGCCUGCAGUGAUGGAGAAUUUGAUUCUGCGCAAAAUUGCUGAGGCUAGAAAGAAGAGUGUAGCCCAGGUGCAGUUGAUUAUUUUAUUUCAAAUUAUUUUUAAUGAUAACUAUGACCUAUGUUAAUUCAAUUUAGAUUUUAAUGAAGUUUUAAAAUAUGCAGCCCUGUUUUAUAAUUCAAGUUUUUUUUUUCAAUGGUCAAACUUUAGACUUAGUCAUAGAAGUGCUAAUGCCACAUCAUGAACCUUAGAUUGUUAUGUGAAACAAAUAAAUAGUUUUAUAUUGAAACUUCAUAAAGUCAUACAUAUACCACUGUAUUGAGAUUACUGUUACAUUGAUAGUCUUUCUCUAAUAUUGACAAAUAUUAUACAGAUAGCACUAAGAUGGAUAUACCAGCAAGGGGUAAUUCCCAUUGUGAAGAGCUUCAACAAGGAGAGGAUGAAACAAAACAUUGAAAUAUUUGAUUGGGAAUUGAACCAAGAAGAAUUAGACAAAAUUAAUCAGAUUCCUCAAUGCAGACUGCUAAAGGCAGAAAUGUUUGUAUCUGAUAAUGGACCUUACAAGUCAUUGGAAGAGCUGUGGGAUGGCGACCCUUAAGCGAAUUCUUGUUUAAAUAUUCGAUGGGAUCAAUGCAAGUGUAUGUACUGAAUAAAUUAUUGUUUAAAUUCCUUAUGCAAGUGAAAUUUUAACUUUGAUUAAUAUCGUUAAUUCCUUAGUAUCGUUAAUUCCUUAGCUGACAUUAAAUAAGAGAAAACACUAAGAAGGAUUUAGUUACUAUUCAUGAACUAGAGAAUCAAUGGUAUGCUAGUUUAUUCUUUUCAUGUGUAUCUUUAGCUGAUUAAGCUUUUACGUCGAUUGGAUAAAUGACUUAAGAAUUUUUUAUGGAGUGGUGAUAUUUCCAGAAGGAAAAUUCUGUCCUGUUUCUUUUGCAGACCCUCGGCUUACCAUGGGAGGUGGGUGGCCUUGACCUGCGUUCUUCCACUACGUGAAAUAAGGGAUUUAGCCUCAGUCAUUUGGGAUCAGUCGCACCUGACUAACGUCAAGCAACAAAUUAUGCGCUAUUUCCCAUCACUCAAAUGUAGAAUAGCGCCUACAACAAAUACGUGGUAUGUAUUAGCCAAAAAAUUGGUUCGAGCCAACACAAAUGUAUCCUAUGUGGUGAAGUUUUCACCCAAAACCCCUAGUUUCAGACCCAAAAGCCCUAGCUAUCCAUUUCACCUGAAAUCCCUUCGUUUAUUAACCGUUCCUUCAAAGAAAGGUACCCCUAGUUCAACACAAAUGUAUGAAUGAGAUGCAUGCUUGUAAUCUGUGCCAUCUAUUGCCUGUGCUAGCUAGAGGAUGAGAUAAAGGCUCGCUGAGACUGAUAAGAGGAAGAUCUCAUCAUAAGUGUAGUUGUUCACAGAUAACAGUUAUGUCAAGGGACAACUUUUCAGUCUAAUUGGUUAUAAGAAUAAAUUAGUCUUAUACAUUGAGUAGUUGAUAAAAGUUUUUUUUGUCUUGUUCAACCAUUAGAACAUUUCUGCCAAUAGCCAACAAAAAAUGUUGCUUGCUAUAUUAGUUCAUCACUCAAUCAAACCCCUUGUAUAAACAAAACAAACAUUCACUAACUUGAUUUUUCAUAGGGGACAAAUACUCAAUAAUCAAUCUUAAAAUAAUAAUAAUAACAACAACAACACCAACAACGUCUUCUUUGCGUCUUGAACUUGUAAUAUAAUGGAAUUGCUUGCCUUUUCAUUAUGUGAAUAGAAUAUCUGUAUACAUGUGCAGGUCAACUAUCUAAUUAUGAUACAGCAUAAUUACAGGAAAAUAAUUAUAACUAAUUAUGACUAAUAUUCUAUUCUAUCAGAACUAUCAUCAAUAAAUUGUAUGAAGCUUAAGCCUUGAAAUCAACAAAAAUAAAAAAAGAUGGAAGCAAAGAAAGUUCCAGAGGUGAUACUAAAUUCAGGGAAAAAGAUGCCAAUGAUAGGUUUUGGAACAUCAGAAAAUCCCUCUCCACCACAUGAAGUCCUCACCUCAAUUUUGGUUGAUGCCAUUGAAAUAGGCUACAGGCAUUUUGAUACUGCUUCUGUCUAUAAUACUGAAGAACCUCUAGGCCAAGCUGUGUCAAAAGCUUUAGAGCUAGGCCUCGUUAAAAAUCGCGAUGAACUGUUCGUUACUUCCAAGUUAUGGUGUACUGAUGCUCACCAUGACCUUGUUCUCCCAUCUCUCAAAACUACCAUCAAGCAAGCAUAUUUCUCUUAACUUCUUUUUUUCCGCUUCUUUUACGUUUGUUAUUUUUAUUACUUGUCUACUUUUAUUUUUGGGUUGAAAUUGUACAGAAAACUGAAGUUGGACUAUGU